CAACUUUUUCCCUUUCUUUUUUAUUUUUAUUUUCCUCGAGACAAUCCGAAACAUAUAUUCCUCUCGUUAUUUUGACAUGAAAUGAAUAUCAUAAGUAGUGUGUAUAAUGAUUUUCAACGAACAAAUAUAUAAUAGGACAGAAAAAAGAACUAACGUUAUAAUAAUUUCAAAUAAGAAUCACCCAAUCGUGCCAUUAGUUACGGGCCAUUCUGUAUAUUAUUUGCACUGAAACUCCUUUAUAUCCUCAAAUAUUUAUUAACUAAAUAUCCUUUUUCGUAAAAAUUCCAAAAAAAAAAAACUUCGAUGCCAAACCAGAUUGUAGGAAAAAUGAACAUGAACACAUAUGUGGAUCACUUUGCGAGCCAACUUGCGAUAGUAACGGUUAGGAUCCGAAUCCUUUAUUGUACCCUAAAAUCGUAAAUAUAUGCAGCAAACUCACUAAAGGUUGUAGGCGUGUAGAUGGCGCUGUCCGAAACAAAAGGAACAAAACAUGAAUACCUCUGGAUGACUGUCCGUAAUAAACACGCGCAUUACUUAUAAUUCAUCCGAAUUGAUCAACUCCAUUUUUAUAUGAGGUUAUCACUCUCGCAUUAUCCAGGUACAAGAUUAGUAUUCGAUAUACAUAUAAAUUUAUAAUUUUAUAACUCAU